CGUUAUUUUUUCAUUUCUAGCACCUAGAAAAGCACCAGACAUAGAAUUGAAUGCUAUAAAAGUUUCCUGACUUCAUAAAUUUCACUGACAAGGAUAUCUAGAAACCCAAAGACAGAGCUGCCCCCUCCAUAUCACCACUGCUUUUCCUCUUGCUUCUGUACAUCCUGGGAUCUGAUUGAGCACUGUACUACUGAGCACUGUACAGGAAGAACACAGCAGCACAACUGUGACAAUGUCCAGCAGACAGAAACGAUGUCUAAUCCAGAACUGACUGCCCUUUCCCAGCGGCCCCUCAGGCUCCUUUGGCGGGAACCCAAACCUUAUAAAGGAGGUUUCCUCCUUUCUUCUUCGCUUCCACGGGACUGCCUUUCCUCCUGAUCUACAAAUAAAACUGAUUUUGUUGGUCUGGGUUUCUACCGGAUGGCCUUUGGCUGAUUUGCCUUUAACAUAAAUCAGGUUAGUGUGACUUUUAUUCGGUUAAGUUUCAUGAUCUCCGCCAAAUCCGC
rnacentral:lncRNA from 1 species